UACAGAGGUCUCAAGCGUUGUUCGGAUUCAUUGGGCGUAAAGGGUGCGUAGGCGGCGCGGUAAGUCGGGUGUGAAAUCUUGGAGCUUAACUCCGAAACUGCAUUCGAUACUGCCGUGCUUGAGGACUGGAGAGGAGACUGGAAUUUACGGUGUAGCGGUGAAAUGCGCAGAUAUCAGGAGGAACACCGGUGGCGAAGGCGGGUCUCUGGGCCGUAACUGACGCUGAGGAGCGAAAGCGUGGGGAGCGAACAGG
rnacentral:rRNA from 1 species